GGUGGCUAAGUGGUAGAGUGCUUGCCUUGCAUGCAUGAAGCCCUGGGUUCGAUUCCUCAGCACCA
rnacentral:tRNA from 1 species